rnacentral:rRNA from 1 species
CUAAGAAUAUUCCGCAAUGGACGAAAGUCUGACGGAGCGACGCCGCGUGGAUGAUGAAGGCCGAAAGGUUGUAAAGUCCUUUUGUCGACGAAGAAUAAGUGGGGGAGGAAAUGCCCUCAUGAUGACGUUAGUCGGCGAAUAAGCCCCGGCUAAUUACGUG